CAGUCGCCGCGGUAAUACGAAGGGGGCUAGCGUUGUUCGGAAUAACUGGGCGUAAAGGGCGCGUAGGCGGUUACUCAAGUCAGAGGUGAAAGCCCGGGACUCAACCCCGGAACUGCCUUUGAAACUAGGUGACUAGAAUCUUGGAGAGGUCAGUGGAAUUCCGAGUGUAGAGGUGAAAUUCGUAGAUAUUCGGAAGAACACCAGUGGCGAAGGCGACUGACUGGACAAGUAUUGACGCUGAGGUGCGAAAGCGUGGGGAGCAAACAGGAUUAGAUACCCCCGUAGUCCCUGUCUCUUAUAC
rnacentral:rRNA from 1 species